UAUAUACGAAUAGCGCAAGUGCCACGCGUAGACAGACGUAGGGGCCGACGAGGUAGAAAGUUGUCGAAUAAUCAGCGGAUGCUUUCUCGGUGAUUUCACAUCGUUAUACAAGUAGUAAAAACUAUUAGGAAUAAUAGAACAAAGGACUUGUAACUGAAAACU
rnacentral:ncRNA from 2 species